rnacentral:lncRNA from 1 species
GAUAUGUACUGCUUUGCUAUCUUACAUGCAUACUGAAUAUGGGGUUAUGAGUGCAUGUUUCUGUGUGUGUGUGUGUGUGUGUGUGUGUGUGUGUGUGUGUGUGUGUGUGUGUGUGUGUGUGUGUGUGUGUGUGUGUGUGUGUGUGUUUUUGCAGAUGUUCAUACAAAUGCACCAAAUUACACAAUUUGCACUGGUUAGUUCUCACAUUCACAGGGCAGGUUUAUCCAUAUAUCUUAAAUGACGACAACAUAUAUAUAUGAGCAGUGAGAGCUCCUUGUACUGUUGGAUUAAUGUAAGAAUGUGUGUGAGUGUCAAGUAUUAACAGAACCUUCUGGCUAUUAAAAGUUAUUCUCCCAGCAUGGAAGCACACACACACACACACACACACACACACACACACACACACACACACACACACACACACACACACACACACACACACACACACACACACACACACACACACACACACACGUAUGCUUGAGACGGCUUGGAGUUGAUUCAAUCUUCAACCGCGACAAAAACAAAAUUAGACACCAAGUCAAAUUUCAGACUUAUUUUCGGAAUAAUUAUUAUUCUUUCUCCAAGGUGAGCCGGAUGAUGGAGAUGGUAAAUGGGGAUCAGGAGGGUGUGAAGGGUGUGGAGCUGGUGGAUGAGUUUCAGGCAGAGCUGAUCGAGCGCGUCAAGGAGACGCGACGGAUCGCCAAGGUGCUCCUGAAACAGGGGCUGCUGGGUAGUGAGGAGCACCAGGCGAUUGUGACGGGCUCCAGCAGCCGUGAGCGCAUGGCUGGGAUCUUCAGGGCGGUGGAGGCAGGGGGAGCGCAGGCCUCUGGCGCCCUCUACAGGUUGCUGCUGGAACAUGAGCCGGAGGUCAUGCUGGAGAUGGGUACUGCCUGUUUUCUCUUACUCUCUCUCUCUCUCUCUCUCUCUCUCUCUCUCUCUCUCACACACACACACACAUUCAUAUCCACACACUACAUAUUGAGAAAUACACACACAGACACAUACAAAUACUCAACACUCACACACAUGCACACACACAUUCUAUACAUACAAAUUCACACACCAGCUGUCUAGAUUUUUUUCUUAGGUUGGCCGGGCAAUCGUAACAUGCUAAUGACUAAUAUUUAAAAGUAAGGGUUGGUUUAUCAGGGAGGGCUUU